rnacentral:rRNA from 1 species
AACGAACGCUGGCGGCGUGCUUAACACAUGCAAGUCGAACGCGAACGGGUUCUUCGGGACCUUAGUAGGGUGGCGCACGGGUGAGUAACGCGUAAGUUAUCUACCUCGGCAUCUGGAAUAACUCACCGAAAGGUGUGCUAAUACCGGAUACGUUGAGUAAUCAAGAAAGGUGGCCUCUCUUUGAUGCUACCGUGCUGAGAUGAGCUUGCGUACCAUUAGCUAGUUGGUGGGGUAAUGGCCUACCAAGGCGACGAUGGUUAGCGGGUCUGAGAGGAUGAUCCGCCACACUGGAACUGGAACACGGACCAGACUCCUACGGGAGGCAGCAGUGAGGAAUAUUGCGCAAUGGGGGCAACCCUGACGCAGCGACGCCGCGUGGAUGAUGAAGGCCUUCGGGUCGUAAAAUCCUGUCAGGUGGAAAGAAAUGUAUAUGUGCUAAUGCCAUGUAUACUUGACGGUACCACCGAAGGAAGCACCGGCUAACUCCGUGCCAGCCGCCGCUGUAAAAC